rnacentral:rRNA from 1 species
ACGAACGCUGGCGGCGUGCUUCACACAUGCAAGUCGAACGGAAAGGCCCUGCUUUUGUGGGGUGCUCGAGUGGCGAACGGGUGAGUAACACGUGAGUAACCUGCCCUUGACUUUGGGAUAACUUCAGGAAACUGGGGCUAAUACCGGAUAGGAGCUCCUGCUGCAUGGUGGGGGUUGGAAAGUUUCGGCGGUUGGGGAUGGACUCGCGGCUUAUCAGCUUGUUGGUGGGGUAGUGGCUUACCAAGGCUUUGACGGGUAGCCGGCCUGAGAGGGUGACCGGCGAGAGGGGGCCGGAGAGCCGGCGCAUGAUGGGCGGAGGGGAGGCAGGGGGGAAUGGGGAGGAGGGGGCGGGAGCCGGAGGCAGCAGCGCCGCGGGCGGGCCGGCGGCCGGCGGGUUGGAACCCGCGGUCGCGUGUGAAGAAGGGUGAGUGACGGUAAGGGGUAAAGAAGCACCGGCUAACUAGGGGACAGCAGCAGCGGUAAUAAUCGGACGAGCACCCGCCUGACC